CACACCUGAGAGGCAGAGGCCCAGCUGGCCCUAAGGGAGAGCAGGGAGCACCUGGGACUUUUUCUAGGGGAGUGGGCUGGAACCUACUCGUUGAGGUGAAGUGUUGUUAGAGUGGAGAUGUUUAGUUCCUUGGUGGAAACCUCUGUAAAACUUAGCUUGCCUCAGACUGAAGCUGGAUUGCCUGUUUUGGGAGGUGAAGUGUUUGCCUUGGCUGACUUUGGUUGCUUCCCAUGUUUCUCACGGCUGGAAGACUGGAAGUGCUGCUGGAGUGGACAUAAUAAGGGAACAGGAGACCAGCUAUAAAGUCAGCAAGAAAAACACAACAAAACUGGUGUGGCAGCAGUUGUUCUUCAGCUUUGAAGACUCCCUGAAACGAUUCUACUCCGACUCAUAAGGAAAACCACGUCAGCACAACGUCACAUACGUCUGUUCUUGCUUAAAGACCAACCUGAAAACAUUCACCCUGGCAAGUUUUAAUACUCUGGGAAAUUCUAAUCUGAUAAACAGAGCCACUAAACAACAAUUUGAGCAAAUGUCACCUUCACUAUUCUUUGGUCGGAAUAAUAAAGGCAGAGUGAUUUCCCUGCAAAGAGGAAGGGACCAGUUAGGGGGGUAAAGUGACAAGUUUAAUAAUAGAGAGGAAUUUUUUCAGGAGAACAACGGCCAUACAGUAAUUUCACAAAUCCUCUUGAACUUGAGAACAUGAGGAAGGAAUACAGGAAUAUGCAGGACUGUGCAGAAAGAACUGGUCUAGGGCUGUGACUUGAAAUUUGAAUGUUCAUCCAGCAGUGUUCAAACUCUCCAGAAAGGUGAGAGAGGCUCUUCUCAGCCUUCUAAGCAGUAUUA